rnacentral:rRNA from 1 species
AGAAUUAUAAGUGAUUGAAGGCUUAUUCAGAAAGCGUAUGAAUGAAACGUUAUGAUGAAUAAGCCUUUUUUAAGUUUUAGUGAUUAUUUUUAGUUUAAGAUGCGUUGAUUGUUUUGAAUCGUGCAUGUUAAUUCAGGUAUUAAAUUUUUGAACGACGUGCAACUUAGUAAGAUGUUAAUCUUCUUGGUUAGAACUGAAGGAUAUGUGUGCGUUCGCUUUUGAAUUGAGUGAGGCUAUAACUGUUUAAAUUGAUUCAAAAGAUAAUUCACGCUAUGUUUUAAAUGUUUUGAUGUAAAAAUAACUCAAUACGUGUUAGUUUUCAAAAACAUAGUAAAUUUGAUUAGAAAUAACAGUUGAUUUUGUGUUGACGAUGGGUAUUCUACUUGGUAAGAUAAGGAAGUCGUUUCGAGGAGAUUGUAAAAAUAAUGCUUUCAUGAUUGAACGCAUGUAAACGAAUGAUUAAAAGUGUAAAAUUAACGCUUGAAACUUUCUCCGUAACAUUAUAAGAUAUUAAAUGUUGAACGAGACAACAACUUAUUAACAAAAAAUUUAAAAAAACUUUAAAUUAAAUCUUGACAGAGAAAUUUGUUUAAAGUAUAAUGUUUUCUUGUAACAGCAAAAACGAACAUUGAAACUGAAUGACAAUAUGUCAACGUUAAUUCCAAUAAUUUGAGUACUUCAAAAGUACUUUCGAGAGUGAUUGGCUUAAACAAUCAACGAGCUAUAUCAAGCUUACUUCUUUUAUGGAGAGUUUGAUCCUGGCUCAGGAUGAACGCUGGCGGCGUGCCUAAUACAUGCAAGUCGAGCGAACAGAUAAGGAGCUUGCUCCUUUGACGUUAGCGGCGGACGGGUGAGUAACACGUGGGUAACCUACCUAUAAGACUGGAAUAACUCCGGGAAACCGGGGCUAAUGCCGGAUAACAUGUUGAACCGCAUGGUUCUACAGUGAAAGACGGUCUUGCUGUCACUUAUAGAKGGACCCGCGCCGUAYUAGCWAGUUGGUGGGGUAACGGCCUACAACGGYGACGAUACGURUCCGACAUGAGASGGUGGUCGGCCACMCUGGAACUGARACAGGGUCCAGACUCCUACGRGAGGCRGCAGUGKGGAUUGUCUCUGGAAUGGGCGARAGCCUGRCGGAGARCGCCGCGKAACKGAGGUAGGAAUGCBGAGGGGAGUGCUYUGWAGUUAGGARGGAAGAGUUGUGAAAGAAAGACGGGAGAUCAUCCCGUCCACUGACUAACAAACCACGACUAAGGACGGCCCGGCCGCYGUGGGUAUGUSKCGUYGGWAAGBGAGACCGGCAGGGWWGGCGGGUAAUAAGAGGUUADUCUUUUUKUACCAUCAUUWGUYGUAUCCCACGGCGGGACCCWGUAGGUGAUAAGCGGAGAGACGUGUGUGAGUGACGUCCAAGCAGUGAGAUUGAGUGUUAGGCAAAUCCGGCACUCUUAAGAUUGAGCUGUGAUGGGGAGAGGAACUUGUUCCUCGAGUCGUUGAUUUCACACUGCCGAGAAAAGCCUCUAGCUAGAAUAACGGUGCCCGUACCGCAAACCGACACAGGUAGUCAAGAUGAGAAUUCUAAGGUGAGCGAGCGAACUCUCGUUAAGGAACUCGGCAAAAUGACCCCGUAACUUCGGGAGAAGGGGUGCUCUUUGAGGUUCACGCUUCGAAGAGCCGCAGUGAAUAGGCCCAAGCGACUGUUUAUCAAAAACACAGGUCUCUGCUAAACCGUAAGGUGACGUAUAGGGCUGACGCCUGCCCGGUGCUGGAAGGUUAAGAGGAGUGGUUAGCGCAAGCGAAGCUACGAAUCGAAGCCCCAGUAAACGGCGGCCGUAACUAUAACGGUCCUAAGGUAGCGAAAUUCCUUGUCGGGUAAGUUCCGACCCGCACGAAAGGCGUAACGAUUUGGGCACUGUCUCAACGAGAGACUCGGUGAAAUCAUAGUACCGGUGAAGAUGCCGGUUACCCGCGACAGGACGGAAAGACCCCGUGGAGCUUUACUGUAGCCUGAUAUUGAAAUUCGGUACAGUUUGUACAGGAUAGGUAGGAGCCUUAGAAGCGUGAGCGCUAGCUUACGUGGAGGCAUUGGUGGGAUACUACCCUAAUUGUAUUGGAUUUCUAACCCGCAGCACUUAUCGUGCUGGGAGACAGUGUCAGGCGGGCAGUUUGACUGGGGCGGUCGCCUCCUAAAGAGUAACGGAGGCGCUCAAAGGUUCCCUCAGAAUGGUUGGAAAUCAUUCAUAGAGUGUAAAGGCAUAAGGGAGCUUGACUGCGAGACCUACAAGUCGAGCAGGGUCGAAAGACGGACUUAGUGAUCCGGUGGUUCCGCAUGGAAGGGCCAUCGCUCAACGGAUAAAAGCUACCCCGGGGAUAACAGGCUUAUCUCCCCAAGAGUUCACAUCGACGGGGAGGUUUGGCACCUCGAUGUCGGCUCAUCGCAUCCUGGGGCUGUAGUCGGUCCCAAGGGUUGGGCUGUUCGCCCAUUAAAGCGGUACGCGAGCUGGGUUCAGAACGUCGUGAGACAGUUCGGUCCCUAUCCGUCGUGGGCGUAGGAAAUUUGAGAGGAGCUGUCCUUAGUACGAGAGGACCGGGAUGGACAUACCUCUGGUGUACCAGUUGUCGUGCCAACGGCAUAGCUGGGUAGCUAUGUAUGGACGGGAUAAGUGCUGAAAGCAUCUAAGCAUGAAGCCCCCCUCGAGAUGAGAUUUCCCAACUUCGGUUAUAAGAUCCCUCAAAGACGAUGAGGUGAAUAGGUUCGAGGUGGAAGCGUAGCGAUACGUGGAGCUGACGAAUACUAAUCGAUCGAAGACUUAAUC